ensembl:lncRNA
GAGGGGGGGUACACCUGUCCAAGGGGAAGGGAUGUGUGUUUGAGCGGAGGAGGUGCUGUUAAGCAGAAAGAGGAAGGAAAGACUCAGUUGUUCAUUGGGGAGGGGAGGAAGCUACUGACAAUGACAAAAAAAAGCAACUGCGAGAAACCUCCUCAAGGCAGAGGGGGGAUGGGCCUUUCCUCCACCUAGGGACCUGCAUCCAAACCCAUGGGGGGGGGGGGGCGGGGGGGGGGAGAGGAAACGUGAGCUGUAGAACCAACAGGGGCAGUGACCUCCCAAGCAAACCCUCUGUCAGGGCCACGGACACACAUGCAGAAGACAGGAACCUGAGCAGAGAGUCACUGGGUCCCUUCCGUCAGACACUGCGAUGAGCUGCCAGCCCCUCUGCUGUGUGGUCCUUUGUGUCCUCGGGGCAAUCCCCGUGGACACUGCAGUUACCCAGACACCAAAACACCUGGUCGCAGCGACAGGGAGUAAGGGGACCCUGAAGUGCAAACAACAUCUGGGACAUAACGCUAUGUACUGGUACAGAGUGCUCAGAGGCCACCGAAGCUCAUGUUUGCCUACAGCUAUAAGGAACUCGCCGAAAAUGACAGUGUCCCCAGUCGCUUCACACCCGAGUGCUCAGACAGCUCCCACCUGCACCUUCACGUGGCCGCCCUACAGCCAGAGGACUCCGCCGUGUAUCUCUGUGCGAGCAGCGAGGACACAGCCCCGCACAGCCAACGGCUCCCCGUGCACAAACUUCCUGGGUGCAGCCGGGGAGCCGUGGGGGCGACCACGGCUCAGCUCGACAUCUCCGGUGGGACCCCAGACAGACAGAAACCCCAGGCCACGACGUGCCGGUCGGUUCGCUGGAUGCGGCAAGGCCCAGUUCCCUGCACAGACGCCCACAGCCUGUGGCCUGGCUCUGCCCGGGGCCAGACCGUGCCCGCGGCUGAGUGCGGGACGGAAAGGGUCCGCCUCCAGUUCCUCCGGUAGCUUCCGAUCGAUCGGCACGUGGCCCCGGGGACUCUUUCAGGAGACACGCUGCACUCUGGCCGUGGCGGCCCUGCCAAGCCUCCUGCCAACGCGUACCUUUCUCUGCCUGUUCCUUCCACCCAGGACACACAGAACCUGAAGUCAGGGAGACCCCCAGCCACCAGGUCACAGAGAUGGGGACGAGAGUAAUCCUGAGACGUGACCCAAUUUAUGGGUUCUGUACAUUGGUACAGACAGAUCCUGGGACAGAAAGUGGAGUUUCUAGUUUUAUUCUACAAGGAUAAUCUCUUGGAGAAGUCUGAAACAAUCAAGGAUCGAUCCUCAGGUCAAAGGCCUGAUGGAUCAUUCUCCACUCUGCGGAUCCAGCCCACAGAGCUGGGAGAUUCAGCCACGUACCUCUGUGCCAGCAGCUCAGCCACAGCCUUGCACAGACACCUCCAGCCUGCACACAAACCCUCAUGUAUCUGCCUCUUUUCCAGCUACCAGAAUGCUUUUGCUGCCCAAGAAAGUCUGAUUUGACUUGUUUUUUCAGCUGUUUCCAAAUAGAUAUCUGAAAUUUAAUCACCAAAGUAGUUUAUCUUUGGCAGGAAUGGCCAGGGAGCAUUUUUUGCCAAAUUUUUAUAGACACUACAGGGCUUGACUGUGGCCUCCAAAGAUGGGAGCGUUGUUGCCCAGGAAAAGACCAUCACAUGGCCUAUGUCUUCUCUUUACUUCCUUUUGCAUCUUGGAUUUUGUUUUGUUUUAGUAGCUUAGAAAAAACCAUUUUAACUCAUAGAAUCAGAAAUGGUUAUCGAGGAAGGGCUUUAGUAUUUCCGUAAGAGUAUAGAGGAUUUCCAACAGUGAAUCUUCAGAAGGACGUGCAGUUCAGCAUAAGGGCCUGGACUGUCGAGUCUUUCCCAGUAAGUACUUGAUGCAUUUGGGGAAAUGCUGUUAACUCACAUGAGAAUGAGUUAAGAGAACAGUAACAAUGGAGUCCGCUAUUGGGACAAGGCCAACAGAGGUCUAAACCAGUGAGAGAACCACCAGAAUAUAGCAGGACAGGGCAGGAUCGAAUUCAGCAGCAAAAAUCAAGUAGCAUCUAGAAGCAGAGCAUGAAUGAACUUGUCACCCUGAACUUGACAUGGGGCAUCCAGAUUAACUUCCUGGGUUUUGAGUAAGAUCUCAGUGUUCUUGAAGGCCUGGAGCAGGAAAGGCAGAGUGAAGACUUCAAUAGAAAAGAAUGAAUUUCCUCAUAAUAAGUCAGGAUGAGCUCAAGCAAUGAAUAGAGGCGAAAAAAGUGUGAGCAGAUCAUAUCAGUUAUAAACACAUGAAAUAUUCAUUUACUCAAGUUAUAGCCAUGCCAGCACCACCAUCUACAGGAUCUUCUACAGGGUCAUCUACAGCACCACCAUCUGCAGAAUGACUUUCCUCCUGACAUGAAUCCCACCAACUUUGCAGACCAAAGGAUCCCAUUUUACAGCUAAGGAAAUGAAAUCAUGGACCUGUAGUGGUGGGAUCCAUUCUUGUUUUCAUGUACUGCGUCCUUCAGAAGCAUCUUACCUUGUAGAAAUGAAGAAAGGACGUAGUAAAGGUUUGGCUAAGGGGCUAGCUCAGAUAUAAUACCCUCAAGCUGAGGAGAUACUUUCUAGGAUGUGGUAUGACUUGUACAGAGGGCUGAGAUAUGGAACUAUGUACUCAAUCCAUGAAUCCAGAAGCCAAAGGGUGGGGGGAGGAUGGGUAUCCCUCUCAUUACCACCCCCAGUGAUCCAGCUGCAAAUCCAGGCUUCUUUUCCCUGUAUUUUUAGGGUCUUCUAGAUAAAAAGUUCUGAUUCUUUAAGACAGGGGUGCUUCCACCACAGGACAUAUGAACAUAAACUAUGACUGUACCUGGUCAUUUGGGGCUCCUUUUGAUGGAAGCCCAAUAGGUAAGGAUGGAGGUAUUGAUCUUGACUAUCAUGAGGUGACAGAGUUGCUCCUACAUAAUGGAAACAGGGAAAGGUUUACCUGGAAUUCAGAGAACUAGUUCAAACAUCUCUUGGUGCCUAAAUUCCUGGUGAUAAUGACAGUUCUGCAAUUGCAACCAUUUUGGCCUGACAAAGUAAAUGUACCUAAGGGACUCAAAACCCUCAGAGACGAAUGUCUGGGUCACCCCACAAAACAAACAUCUUAGACCACAGAAGUGCUAAGCAAAGUUGGAGAAAAUCUAGAAUUGGUGAUAAGGGAGAUAAUAAAUCUCAGUAAUGGCUUUGUGUACAGUAAGAGCAGCAGUCCUAUAGCCCUAACCCUGUAUUUGUACAGAUUGCAGCUGAACCCCACCUUGAAGACCUUAUUAUUUGGACUUGAAACAAUGUAGGGUGUAGGCUAUUUGAAAUGCCUCGAUUGUAUCACCACCUAUCUUCCUGGCUCCCCCCCUGAUUCCAGCCACAACUAUUUCAUGCAGCUAUUCCAAGCAGACAUUGACCCCUUCAUAUGGAUUGAACCUCCUCUUAAAUAUGGGCAGUGUAUCUAGCUUUCUUCCUGAAGUGCUCUGUGGCUGUGGUUGAGACACAUGAAUGGCCUACUAGAAGCUUAUACAUGCACGACCCAGAAGUGUCAGGGUGUUAAUGCUCUAUGGGACAAUCCUCCACCAAUGGGGGGAUGAGAACGAAUAAAUAAAGCUUUGUGUCUGUCUCAGACUCCCUAGAAAGUUCUAGAUUGACGAGCAGCCAUUUAUCUAUAAUGAUGGCCCAAUUCAUAUACAUAUUUUUCAUAUUGUCCAUCCUUUUUGUUUCUGUGCAUGAUUUGGCCUCGAUAUCUCCAUCUGACUUAUCUUCCACUUUUCCUAUUCUUUCCAGCUGUAUCUGUUCUGCUUUUAACCCCAUAUAUUGAAUUGUUAAUCAGAGGUAUUUUGUGUAUUUUGUUUCUACAGUCUCCAUUUAAAUGUUUACUAUAGUUUCCAGUUGUCCACUAAAA